ACAGACACAAGUCAGUACACUUGCAGUGAAAGAUAAGCUACUUGUUGCUGGGGGAUUUCAGGGAGAGCUUAUUUGCAAGCAUCUAGACCGCCCAGGUGUUAGCUUUUGUUCCAGAACAACUUACGAUGAUAAUGCUAUAACUAAUGCUGUUGAGAUAUAUACUAGCGCUAGUGGUGCAGUUCAUUUCACUGCUUCUAAUAAUGAUUCUGGAGUCAGAGAUUUUGAUAUGGAGAAAUUUCAGCUUUCUAAGCACUUCUGUUUUCCUUGGCCAGUUAAUCACGCUGCCUUGAACCCAG
rnacentral:misc_RNA from 1 species